rnacentral:rRNA from 1 species
UACGGGGGGGGCAAGCGUUGUUCGGAAUUACUGGGCGUAAAGGGCUUGUAGGUGGCCAACUAAGUCCGACGUGAAAUCCCUAGGCUUAACCUAGGAACUGCGUCGGAUACUGGAUGGCUUGAAUCCGGGAGAGGGAUGCGGAGUUCCAGGUGUAGCGGUGAAAUGCGUAGAUAUCUGGAGGAACACCGGUGGCGAAGGCGGCAUCCUGGACCGGUAUUGACACUGAAAAGCGAAAGCCAGGGGAGCAAACGGG